rnacentral:rRNA from 1 species
AUGCCUCCAAUGGCGGGAGCAGGUAACCCUGGUGAGGGAGGAGGAGGUGAGGGUGGAGGAGGAGAAGGAGGAGGUCCGACGGGCCGUGCACCACCGCCCGCUCCAACCUCGUCCCGCGGACGAUCUGGGAAGGAGGGCCACGGCAUGGAAUCUGAUUGCCCUGUGCCCUGGUACACAAGGACGCUGGUGGCGCUUGGGAUCAAGUCCCAUGGCGACCCUUCUGGUCCAUUGAGGCAGGGAACUUUUGAUCCGUUGUUGGGGGUUGUUGUCACCUCUGAGGGAUACCUCUCAAGGUCUGAAUCUGAAAGGAUAAACAACUACCUUGAAUGUGUUCUUAAUGAAGUGAAAUCUGCAUUAGGUUCUUGUGCUGAGGAUGUCGAGGAUGAAUACGGGUGCCAAGAUACUGUCCCACCAGUUACUCAGGAGUCUUCCAGUGGCCCAGGCUUGAAGACCAUAGCGGCAAUUGUUCUAGGUGCUGCGUCUAGGGAUGCAUGUGAAAGUCCUCAAAGCAGUCAGAGUACCAGUGUGAGGGGUAAGAUAAUGCCAAAAAAUGCGGAGCAUGUGCAGGUUAUUCAACAAUCCACCCAGGAAAUCAAGGCUUUCAUUCAUGAUGCUCUUAGAAGAAAUCUGAUUGGCCCAGACUGUGCACGGGACCUGGUUUUCAAAAUAGAUGAGCUGGGCAAGUAUACUUCAAGGGCCGUCUCUCGAAAUGGAACCCGCAUUUUUACAUUGGAUGGAUUGAAGAAGAGACCUACCAGACUUUAG